UACGGAGGGGACUAGCGUUGUUCGGAAUUACUGGGUGUAAAGGGUUCGUAGGCGGUGUGGCAAGUCGGGAGUGAAAUCUCUGGGCUCAACUCAGAGACUGCUUCCGAAACUGCUGUGCUGGAGUGUGGGAGAGGCGCGUGGAAUUGCAGGUGUAGCGGUGAAAUGCGUAGAUAUCUGCAGGAACACCCGUGGCGAAAGCGGCGCGCUGGACCACUACUGACGCUGAGGAACGAAAGCUAGGGGAGCAAACAGG
rnacentral:rRNA from 1 species